GACGGAAGGUGCAAGCGUUGCUCGGAAUCACUGGGCGUAAAGGGCGCGUAGGCGGGGAGGUAAGUCGGUGUGAAUCCUCGGCCCAACCGAGGAACUGCGCCCGAGACUGCUUCUCUUGAGUCCCGGAGAGGAAGAUGGAAUUCCGGUGUAGCGGUGAAAUGUGUAGAGAUCGGCAGGAACACCCAGGGGAAACCAGUGGACUGGCACGGUGCUGACGCUCAGGUGCGAAAGCGUGGGGAGCGAACCGG
rnacentral:rRNA from 1 species